UGAGCUCGAUGAGUAGGGCGGGACACGUGGUAUCCUGUCUGAAUAUGGGGGGACCAUCCUCCAAGGCUAAAUACUCCUGACUGACCGAUAGUGAACCAGUACCGUGAGGGAAAGGCGAAAAGAACCCCGGCGAGGGGAGUGAAAAAGAACCUGAAACCGUGUACGUACAAGCAGUGGGAGCACAGGUUUACCUGUGUGACUGCGUACCUUUUGUAUAAUGGGUCAGCGACUUAUAUUCUGUAGCAAGGUUAACCGUAUAGGGGAGCCGUAGGGAAACCGAGUCUUAACCGGGCGUUAAGUUGCAGGGUAUAGACCCGAAACCCGGUGAUCUAGCCAUGGGCAGGUUGAAGGUUGGGUAACACUAACUGGAGGACCGAACCGACUAAUGUUGAAAAAUUAGCGGAUGACCUGUGGCUGGGGGUGAAAGGCCAAUCAAACCGGGAGAUAGCUGGUUCUCCCCGAAAGCUAUUUAGGUAGCGCCUCGUGAAUUCAUCUCCGGGGGUAGAGCACUGUUUCGGCUAGGGGGCCAUCCCGGCUUACCAACCCGAUGCAAACUGCGAAUACCGGAGAAUGUUAUCACGGGAGACACACGGCGGGUGCUAACGUCCGUCGUGAAGAGGGAAACAACCCAGACCGCCAGCUAAGGUCCCAAAGUCAUGGUUAAGUGGGAAACGAUGUGGGAAGGCCCAGACAGCCAGGAUGUUGGCUUAGAAGCAGCCAUCAUUUAAAGAAAGCGUAAUAGCUCACUGGUCGAGUCGGCCUGCGCGGAAGAUGUAACGGGGCUAAACCAUGCACCGAAGCUGCGGCAGCGACGCUGAUGCGUUGUUGGGUAGGGGAGCGUUCUGUAAGCCUGUGAAGGUGGCCUGUGAGGGUUGCUGGAGGUAUCAGAAGUGCGAAUGCUGACAUAAGUAACGAUAAAGCGGGUGAAAAGCCCGCUCGCCGGAAGACCAAGGGUUCCUGUCCAACGUUAAUCGGGGCAGGGUGAGUCGACCCCUAAGGCGAGGCCGAAAGGCGUAGUCGAUGGGAAACGGGUUAAUAUUCCCGUACUUGGUGUUACUGCGAAGGGGGGACGGAGAAGGCUAUGUUGGCCGGGCGACGGUUGUCCCGGUUUAAGCGUGUAGGUGUGUGUUCCAGGUAAAUCCGGUUCACUUUAACACUGAGGCGUGAUGACGAGGCACUACGGUGCUGAAGCAACAAAUGCCCUGCUUCCAGGAAAAGCCUCUAAGCAUCAGGUAACAUCAAAUCGUACCCCAAACCGACACAGGUGGUCAGGUAGAGAAUACCAAGGCGCUUGAGAGAACUCGGGUGAAGGAACUAGGCAAAAUGGUGCCGUAACUUCGGGAGAAGGCACGCUGACACGUAGGUGAAGUGAUUUACUCAUGGAGCUGAAGUCAGUCGAAGAUACCAGCUGGCUGCAACUGUUUAUUAAAAACACAGCACUGUGCAAACACGAAAGUGGACGUAUACGGUGUGACGCCUGCCCGGUGCCGGAAGGUUAAUUGAUGGGGUCAGCGCAAGCGAAGCUCCUGAUCGAAGCCCCGGUAAACGGCGGCCGUAACUAUAACGGUCCUAAGGUAGCGAAAUUCCUUGUCGGGUAAGUUCCGACCUGCACGAAUGGCGUAAUGAUGGCCAGGCUGUCUCCACCCGAGACUCAGUGAAAUUGAACUCGCUGUGAAGAUGCAGUGUACCCGCGGCAAGACGGAAAGACCCCGUGAACCUUUACUAUAGCUUGACACUGAACAUUGAGCCUUGAUGUGUAGGAUAGGUGGGAGGCUUUGAAGCGUGGACGCCAGUCUGCAUGGAGCCGGCCUUGAAAUACCACCCUUUAAUGUUUGAUGUUCUAACGUGGACCCGUGAUCCGGGUUGCGGACAGUGUCUGGUGGGUAGUUUGACUGGGGCGGUCUCCUCCUAAAGAGUAACGGAGGAGCACGAAGGUUGGCUAAUCCUGGUCGGACAUCAGGAGGUUAGUGCAAUGGCAUAAGCCAGCUUGACUGCGAGCGUGACGGCGCGAGCAGGUGCGAAAGCAGGUCAUAGUGAUCCGGUGGUUCUGAAUGGAAGGGCCAUCGCUCAACGGAUAAAAGGUACUCCGGGGAUAACAGGCUGAUACCGCCCAAGAGUUCAUAUCGACGGCGGUGUUUGGCACCUCGAUGUCGGCUCAUCACAUCCUGGGGCUGAAGUAGGUCCCAAGGGUAUGGCUGUUCGCCAUUUAAAGUGGUACGCGAGCUGGGUUUAGAACGUCGUGAGACAGUUCGGUCCCUAUCUGCCGUGGGCGCUGGAGAACUGAGGGGGGCUGCUCCUAGUACGAGAGGACCGGAGUGGACGCAUCACUGGUGUUCGGGUUGUCAUGCCAAUGGCACUGCCCGGUAGCUAAAUGCGGAAGAGAUAAGUGCUGAAAGCAUCUAAGCACGAAACUUGCCCCGAGAUGAGUUCUCCCUGAGACUUAGAGUCUCCUGAAGGAACGUUGAAGACGACGACGUUGAUAGGCCGGGUGUGUAAGCGCAGCGAUGCGUUGAGCUAACCGGUACUAAUGAACCGUGAGGCUUAACCUU
rnacentral:rRNA from 1 species